CAUGAAAGCUGGUGACUGGAUGAACGAAAAUCGAUUCAAACAGCUUCUGAGUGGUCCACAGGGGAGGCUGCCAGGCAGGGUGGACACUGUGCUCUCCACCUCCCUGAACCCGAGCACACAUGGCCUGGAGGAUAUACUGUGUGACUGUGCAUUUUACGGCAGUUUUACAAGAGUGACGUGUCAUAUGAACUUUCCACCUGUGUCUGGGAUGCCCCUGAGUCACCUGGACACGUCUCUUCCAUGGAAGGCUGCACAGGCAGAUGCUGUUAUGACUGAACUGUGUCGCCCCUAAAUUCUCACGCUGAAGCUUUGACCCCCAGAAUCUCAGAAUAUGACUUGAAGGCCCUUGAAGAUUGGGCCUUUAAAGAGUGACUCAGUGAAACCAGGCUGAUAGGUUGGGCUCAAACCCAGUCUGACUGGUGUCCUUGUAAGAAGAGGAGAUGUGGACGCAGACACGCUGAGGGGAGGAGGCUGCAGGGAGGGACAGCCGUCUGCAGGCGAAGGAGAGAGGCCUUGGGGGCAACCGGUGCUGCUGACACCAUGAUCUCGGAGCUCGGCCUCCAGGAUGGUGAGACAUGCAUUCCCGCCCCAGCCUGUGGCGUUGUCGUGGCAGUGGAGCCCACCGCACACCCAGCAUGCCAGCGCCGUGGGUGCCCAGCAUGCCAGCGCCGUGGGUGCCCAGCAUGCCAGCGCCAUGGGUGCCCAGCAUGCCAAGGGGCUGGAUUCGCAGAUGCUCCUGGCUGUAGCUGAUGUGGCCGGACCACAGUGCUCCGCAUUCCUCUCGGCACACAAGGCUCGCCUGCCCCACAUCAGCCCCUGUGGCCAUCAGCACUUUUGCUUUUUCAUUUUUGCCAGUGUGACAUGUCCCAAGUGACACCUCACCCCUCAUGAAGCCAGUGCCCACCCAGGUCCCUUCCAGCAACGCACAGCCCCUGCUGCCCAGGGCAGGCCACCCUCGUGGUGACGACCAACUCCCGGGCAGGGUUGCCCCCAAGCCAACAGCUCCGUCCUCUCCCAGUCCUCCGCACUCCUGAGGUAUCUCCCCAGAGGCCCCCACCUCCAGAUGCCCCUGUCCCAGAGAGCAGCCCCCGUGUCUGUGGUGCUCGCUUCCCUGACAGCCAGUGCACCCGAAACCUUCUCAGGUCUGAUGGCUCGUGGACUUGCUCGUUGGUUCGCCCAGUCAAAGCCCUCUCCCAUCUUCCCAUAGAGUUUGUCUCUUUCUUGACAACUUAUAAGAGUUCUUAGUACAGGGGCUGGCCCCGUGGUUGAGUGGUUAAGUAUGUGCACUCUGCUUCGGCGGCCCAGGGUUUUGCUGGUUCGGAUCCUGGUUGCGGACAGGGCACUGCUCGUCUGGCCAUGCUGAGGUAUCAUCCCACAUGCCACAACUAGAAAGACCCACAAUGAAAAAUACACAACUAUGUACCAGGGGGUGGGGGGCUUUGGGAGAAAAAGGAAAAAUAAAAUCUUAAAAAAAAAAAAGUUCUUAGUACAAUAUGGACUUUAGCUAUCUGUCACCUUAAUUAAACUAGUUUCUCAAAUCAAUGAUUUGUCUGCUGACUUGGCUUGUGGAAUAUUUUGCUACAUUCAAGUUUCAAGUUUGAUAUAGUUAAGUGUGACUGUAGGGAAAUAUGGAAGUAUAUAUAUAAGAGAUUACUGUGUUUCUCCAGACAGAGUCUGUAUAAGGAGAAGAAAACCAAAAAAAUUAAUAUCCUCAAAGAGAUGAGAGAAAGUAUCGUGACCACAGAAAAAGAUCAGAAUGCUACAGAAGUAAUUAUUCAGAGAACAAAAACAAGCUCUUGGAAAUAAACGUGACGGCAGAAAUGAAAAGCUCAGUGAAGGAGCUGGAAGUCAGAGUUCAAGCGUCUCCUUGAAAGUAAAGCCAAAGACCAAAAAAAAAAAGGAAAUAGGAAAGGUUUUUGGAGUCCAGUCUGAGAGGCCCGAGAUCCUGACAGUGUUUACCACAGAAAGAGGGAGAGAGAAGACACAGGGAGGAGAUAAUUUAAAAUUAGUAAUUCAGGGGCCGGCCUGGUGGUGCGGUGGUUAAGUGUGCACGUUCUGCUUUGGUGGCCCAGGGUUCGCCGGUUCAGAUCCCUGGUGCUCGGCAAGCCAUGCUGUGGUAGGCGUCCCACAUACAAAGUAGAGGAAGAUGGGCAUGGAUGUUAGCUCAGGGCCAGUCUUCCUCAGCAAAAAGAGGAGGAUUGGCAGCAGAUGUUAGCUCAGGGCUAAUCUUCCUCAAAAAAAAAAAAAAAAAUUAGUAAUUCAAGAAAAUUUCUGGAACUGAAAGACAGGAAUUUCCAGAUUGAAAGAGCUGCUGGGCACCUAGCAAUGGGAUGAAAAUGAAGCCACAGAAAGGCCAUUUUCAUGAACUGUGAGAACACUGAGGACAAAAAGAAGCCCUAAAACUUCAAGCCAGGAAAACCAACUGGGAGCAGCUCCAGUGGCCUGGUGGUUAUAGUUUGGAUGCUCGGCUUCGGCGGCCUGGGUUUGGUGUCCCCUGUCAGUAUUGUCUGUCAGUAGCCAUGCUGUGGUGGUGGCUCACAUAGGAGAACCAGAAGGACCUACAACUAUGUACUGGGACUUUGGGGAGAAAAGAAAGAGGAAGGUUGGCAACAGAUGGUAACUCAGGGCAAACCUUUCCCAACAACAACAAAAAAAGAAAAAAUGAAAAACCGAGUGGGUUUCACACCAUGGAUCAGCAGUGACAAUAACAUCGCAUUUACCCACAGCAGCAUUGGAAGCCGGGAGAUGCGAGGACAAUGUUCUCACAGCUCGGAGGGAAAAUGGUGACUGUGCUGGAGUUUUAUACCCAACCAAACUGUCAUCUGGUGAGCAUGGACUAAAGGCAUUUUAAAGCCACGUGUCUGCCUGCCAUGUGCCCUUUCUCAGGAAACUACUGAAGGACUACUCCACCAAACAAGGAGUAAACUGAGAAAGGGGAAGGCAUGGGAUCCCGGAAAAUCCAACCCAGGGAAGAAGCAAAGGGAAUCUUUAGGAUGAAGACCAAGGGAGCUCUCAAGGUGCCAGCCCUGCCACAGACCCAGGCAGGAUGGUCCAGGACUGCGCAGGUGGGGGCUCCUGCAGGGACCUCCUUGGAAAUACCCUUGUGUUAGAACGUAAGCCACUGGUGGGAGCCUGAGGGUGAACUGGUGAUGAGUUCAGAGAAAACUCAGCUGGCACGAAAAAAGAAAGGCAAUUAUUAACUCCAGGGAAAACAGCGCAUCUGUGGGUAGGAACAGUAACCAUGGCAUGCCACAGGCCUGGCGUGAAUGCAAAUCUAAUUGCUGAAUACAGAGCUAACUAGAGAUAUAAGGUAACUCUGUUGGGAAUAUAGGAGGACCCAAGUGUGUGUGGGAGUGGGGAGAAGUGAAGAAAUAAUUGGCAUCUUCCUUAGAGUGAAUUUAACAGAUAGCACCUGAGACGGAAACACUGAGAAGCUGAUAUUCAGUCACGUUCUCACGCAGACGCUGGCACAGGAGUCGCAUGGGAAGAUGGAAGUGGUUGCCCGUGGGGCUGGUGUCGAGGGUCUGGCAGAGGCUGGAUUUGUUCAAGCCUCACAGAAAUGUCUGACUCUUAAACUACAUACAAGUAUAACUUUGAUAAAAAAUGAAACUAAACAUUCAGUUGGUGCACUCCCCAUCCUCUGAGGCCUGGCAGUCAUUUCAGCAAAACGGAAAUGACCUGUAAUGAAAGGUCAGCUGGAACUUGGCUGUGAAUGUAUCUGUUCUCAUUCCAUUUUCAAGGAAAUGUCUCUGAGCACCUUUCCUGACUCUUCUACGUAACAGGCCACCUCACAUUUCCACCCCCCUUUUGAUAGUUGAUAUUCUGCUGGACAGCAUCCAUUUCUCUGGGUUUUCCCAGUAUGGGGCCACAUGCAGUCCAGCACCCCCAGCCCACUGUCCACCCUCCGGGUCAGGCACGGUCUCCAUGGCGGCCACUCAUUUUGCUGCGUGGCCGUGAGGCUGUGUCGCUAUGGCGCUACCCUGUGCCUCGGGCCUCAUCUCAGUUCACUGUGCCUGUGUUACCAUGGCACCCUGGGCACUGAAUCUCGGCAGGAUUGAAUUCCACACAUAGACGUGUGUCUUGUCAAACAGGAUAAAUAUGGUUUCCUUGCAAGAGUGUCUGGCCGUUGUCGUGUCCAGGAAACGUAAACCAAGCCAUCUGGGUCUUGCUCCCUGCCUCCAGGGCCCCCAGGUUUCAGGCUGUCAUCUUCAGGGAUGGCUGGGUCAUAAAUAGGCCCGUGAACAGUUUAGGCCCUUCCCACAGGAAGUUCAGAAACACACACAAACGUCACAGAGGUCCAAGACCCCGACUUCUCCUGGGGAGCCCUGGCAUCACCUCGCAGCCUUUCCAUGGAGAAGACUGGGGCUGAAUUUCCAACAGGCCACGGUGCUGUGGGGUCUCGGCAGCCCGGCCGACCAGCACUGGCCCAUUUUCAAGCCCCAGCUUUCCCAUCUGUUUUCAAACACUCCCACGUGUGUGUGGGCACAAUCCCCACCCAUCCCCCCAACAAAUAGCAUAAAUGGCCGCUUUCUGUAAGACUGUCCAGCAAGGGCAUCCACUUCCAGAGGCCCCCACCUUCUCCCGUGGGCUCCUUGCCGCCCAGGGCACAGCCCCAUGCUCACAGCUGGGACCUUUCCAGAGUCCCUGAUGCCCCAGUGCCACCAGCAGCAUCAGGACACCUCAGAGACAGCAGGCUGGACCGCGGCUCAGAAGGGAAAGCUUCGGAAUGGGCGCUGGUGGGGGUGGGGCACGGGUUCUGGAGCCAGCUCCGUCCAGAAGCGAUCAGGUAACCUCGGACCCCAGGAGACAAACCUCUCCGGACGCUCCCCAUGAGCCUCAGUCCUACCUGGUUCCCGAGGAUGGCGGCAUCCCGGCACGGCUCCUCAGGGCACCCGCUCUGCCUUAUCAUGGCCUGGCUGGUCGGAAUGCGGUGGAAACCUUUGCCUGGUACAAGCGGCCUCUGCAACACAGCCCAGGAAUUUUGCAUUGAAUAAUUUUUAACUUCUGCUCUGAGAGAAAACCAGGGUUGUGUAAAGUGUCUGUCUACACAGGAAUGCCAAGGGGCUUUCAUUUGCAAGUAAAUACCUCAAUAAUAACGAGGAAAACUGCCUUGGGGGAAAAAAGAAGAAAAAACAGAGAAAGAAAGUGCUCACAGGGCCUCAGGGCCCUGCCGGUCAGGCGGUCUUACCUCUCCCCCAGGGAAGUGAGGGCAGCGUCUCAGCCGGGGACCCGCAUGGUGGACGGGCUUCUCUGGGGGCCGGCCCGCCUGGCGACUGCUCCCACUCCGCAUCCCCCCACCUCCCCUGGCCUCUGACCCCAUGCCCCGUCCUGCCAUUUCUUUCAACAGCUUCAAAUUUCAGAAACUGCCGGAGCCAGGCACCACCCCGGCGACCUGCCACCGCCUCCAGCACUCCCUGGGCUGCUCUGCACUCUUCCGUGGCUCGGACCGAGACCCUGUGACUGGACGUGACAGAGGCCGCACGCAGCUCCUGUAGGCCCUGUCGCCACAUGGGGGCUGGCCCUGCUCCGAUGACCAUCACCCAGCGAGCUGGAACAUGCACAGCCCCAAACCAGAGUUUUCCUUUAAAAAGACCUCCAGUUCCUCCAGCUCUGGGUCAGGCGUGACAGUCGCUCAUAGUACCCAGGAGAGAGAAUCCAGGCAAAGAGAACAGAGAUGGCAUUUCAGAAAAUGAAUCGUUAUAUACAGGGCACAGAGCUCAUCUUUUCCAGUGGAAAACAUGGCAGGAAAAGACCCUACUGUCCAACAUAUAAGACAUUUAAAGAACGGACGCAUUGGAAUCCUCAAGCUCUCACAGUAACUCCUUUUCACAAGGGAAGCACCUCCAGGACGCUCUGCUUGGGAAAACACCCAGCACCAAGAGUCAGAAAGCAGAAGCAUAAAGCACCCUGAGGACUGAUUCAGACAGACGGCCUCGCGGUGGGGCCAGUGCUGCACCCCCAGGAGCCGGCGAAAGCAUAACCCUGACGGUGCACCUGCGGGCCCUAGGUGUGCGCUCUUGCUGCUGCCCAAUCUGCAAGCAUUGUGCCCCUUCUCAGGGGCGGCCGCUAACGCCACAGCGGCAGACCAGACCACCCAGGGGACGGGAGUAGAGAGGGACCCCAGGCCCCCAAAUGGUAUCCGUGAGCACCACCCAGGAGCAAGUCGGUACCAGGCACCGAGGCUGCAACAGCAAAGGGCGCAGACCAGGUCUUGGGAGAUGGGGGGCUUUAGUGGGGACAGUGCAGGCUGAACAGAGGAAAGGAGGCAGGAGUGGGAUCUCGGG
rnacentral:lncRNA from 1 species